rnacentral:rRNA from 1 species
AACGAACGCUGGCGGCAUGCCUAACACAUGCAAGUCGAACGAGACCUUCGGGUCUAUUGGCGCACGGGUGCGUAACGCGUGGGAACCUGCCCUUAGGUUCGGAAUAACUCCCCGAAAGGGGUGCUAAUACCGGUUAAUGUCUUCGGACCAAAGAUUUAUCGCCUUUGGAUGGGCCCGCGUUGGAUUAGCUAGUUGGUAGGGUAAAAGCCUACCAAGGCGACGUUCCAUAGCUGGUCUGAGAGCAGGUUCAGCCACACUGGGACUGAGACACGGCCCAGACUCCUACGGGAGGCAGCAGUGGGGAAUAUUGGACAAGGGGCGAAAGCCUGAUCCAGCAAUGCCGCGUGAGUGAUGAAGGCCUUAGGGUUGUAAAGCUCUUUUACCCGGGAUGAUAAUGACAGUACCGGGAGAAUAAGCUCCGGCUAACUCCGUG